rnacentral:rRNA from 1 species
AUACGUAGGGGGCGAGCGUUAUCCGGAAUUAUUGGGCGUAAAGAGUACGUAGGUGGUUUUGUAAGCGCAAGGUGAAAGACCGCAGCUUAACUGCGGUGAGCCUUGUGAACUGCAAGACUUGAGUGCAGGAGGGGAAAGUGGAAUUCCUAGUGUAGCGGUGAAAUGCGUAGAUAUUAGGAGGAACACCGGUGGCGAAGGCGGCUUUCUGGACUGUAACUGACGCUGAGGCGCGAAAGCGUGGGGAGCGAACAGGAUUAGAUACCCUGGUAGUCCACGCUGUAAACGAUGGAUACUAGGUGUAGGGGGUAUCGACUCCCUCUGUGCCGGAGCGAACGCAAUAAGUAUCCCGCCUGGGGAGUACGGCCGCAAGGUUGAAACUCAAAUGAAUUGGCGGGG